rnacentral:tRNA from 1 species
GUUCUUGAGGUGUAGUUUGCACAUCAGGUUUUCAUCCUGAAGGUAUAGAAAGGAAUCUAUCUAGAAUA